GCAACACCUACCACAGCUCAGGGUGAACAGCACAGUGUUUCAGUUGACCGAAAGGGCUUCAUCAUCCGUUUGACUUUGCUGAUCUUUGUUGUGAUGGUGACAUUGUUCAUCUGGUUUAUGUUCAAAAGACACAAACAGAACAAAGCAGAAUCAUCAGCCACAACAAUGGUUGAAGAGGAGGUGACGUAAUGCAAUGCACAUCAGAAAAACUUCAGAUGAGGUUGAAGUAAAAGAUGAGGAUGUAUUGGCCCAGCAGCAGCAAAACCUGUAAAUGUUUCCCCUACUACUCAUCCAUCUUGUCUAUCACUGGACUCUUUUUUUAGAUGAUUGCAACAUCCGAAAGCAUCGACAAAAGCCUUCAACAUACUUAGACAUGAUCCUUUCCUCUCAUAGGAGGUUUAGAGCAUCUUAAGAAGCUCCAGAACUUGAAGGAGCUUUUAUUGUUUUUUAGUCUGCAUUUGUAACAUGAACGCUUAUGAUGUUUAAGUGACUUUUAAUAGAAAAUAAAUGAUAUUGUUUAAAUUACAAAAUAAGAAAAUCUAAUUAACCUAACACACACAAAUACAUUUAACAAUCGAUCUUUGCAUAUCUUUUGUUAUUAUCCUCCUUCCCUGUCUUAUAUUCAUCUCUCCUGGCUGAAAUGCCACUUUCUUGAUGUUAUUUUUGCAGUUUCCAUAUCUUCUUUCUUUAUAUUUAUGGUGCCACAGUAUCCUUAUAGGUUUGAUAUAGAACUUGUGCAUUCAGGAAGUCAAUGCCUAAUUUAGGGUUUAAUAUGUGUUUAAGAGUGACGUCUGCCUGGAGCAGCAGGUAAAUCAUGUGUGUCUCCUCUGUGGUUAUUGAAACAACAACUUUUGAGUAGUGCAGAGAUGGCAUACUGUGUGACAUUGGUUUUCAAAUGAAUAUGCUUCAAAUGCUGAUGUAAUCACAGAUACUUUAAGCACAAUACAUCAGUAAAAAAAUAACUAAAAAAUGUCAUUACACUCAAUUUGUGUUGUUCAAACAUUUUCAAACUCAUCUAUCAGAUUAUUGACUUGAUGGAUUAGGCAUACUUUAAAAGGUAUACAAAUAAACAAAUAAAUUGGGCAUAUAUUUGGUGAUUUGUGACUUGUGAACAUUACAAACUAUAUGCUUCAUGACAAUCUAAUGUUCACAUUAGACACUUCAAUUUUAAAGGAUUGACUGAAGGCAGGAAAACAUUAUUAUUGGCAUAUGUAUUGGCAGGAGGGUGAUGUUGUGAAAGCUUUAUUGUCUAUAUUACUAUUGAAUAUACCA